rnacentral:rRNA from 1 species
UCAAGUUGGUAAGGGCGCGCGAUGGAUGCCUUGGCACCGGCAGGCGAUGAAGGACGUGGCAAGCUGCGAUAAGCUCCGGGUAGCCGCAAGCAGGCGUUGAUCCGGAGAUCUCCGAAUGGGGCAACCCCGCCGCCGUGAGGCGGUGAUCCGGCCAUGAAUCAAUAGUGGCCGGAGGCGACACCCGGGGAAGUGAAACAUCUCAGUACCCGGUGGAACAGAAAUCAAUCGAGAUUCCGCCAGUAGUGGCGAGCGAACGCGGAACAGCCCAAACCAGGGGGCUUGCCCCCUGGGGUUGCGGGACCCGGCCAAGGGACGCGCUGCGGUUAGCGCAAGCUUCUGGAAUGGAGCACCACAGACGGUGAAAGUCCGGUGCGCGAAAACCGCGGGGCGGCCCUCGGGUAUCCCAAGUAGGGCGGGACACGUGAAACCCCGUCUGAAUCCGGGGGGACCAUCCUCCAAGGCUGAAUACUAGCCGGUGACCGAUAGCGAACCAGUACCGUGAGGGAAAGGUGAAAAGAACCCCGGCGAGGGGAGUGAAAUAGAACCUGAAAUCGCGUGCCUACAAACUGUCGCGGCCCUCCGCAAGGGGGGUGGCGGCAUUCCUUUUGCAUAAUGAGCCUGCGAGUUGCUCUCUGCAGCCAGGUUAAGCCCGACGGGCGGAGCCGCAGCGAAAGCGAGUGCGAACAGCGCGUCUCGAGUUGCAGGGAGCAGACCCGAAGCCAAGUGAUCUAUCCAUGGGCAGGAUGAAACCCGGGUAACACCGAGUGGAGGUCCGAACCAAUGAGUGUUGAAAAACUCCUGGAUGACCUGUGGAUGGGGGUGAAAGGCCAAUCAAACUUGGUGAUAGCUGGUUCUCUUCGAAAUAGCUUUAGGGUUAGCCUCGUGCGUCGGCCGGCCGGGGUAGAGCACUGAUUGGUCGAGGGUCCUUACCGGGAUACCAACAUCAGUCAAACUCCGAAUACGGCCAGGCCAGGCACGGGAGUCAGACCGUGGGGGAUAAGCUUCACGGUCGAGAGGGAGACAGCCCGGACCGUCGGCUAAGGUCCCCAAUCCGGAUUCAGUGGCACAAAGGAUGUGGAGCCGCAGAGACAGCCAGGAUGUUGGCUUAGAGGCAGCCAUCAUUUAAAGAGUGCGUAACAGCUCACUGGUCGAGUGGCUCCGCGCCGAAAAUACGCGGGACUAAGUCCGGAACCGAAGCCGCGGGUUCCCGCGCAAGCGGGAGCGGUAGAAGAGCGUUGCCGCGGCGGCGAAGUGCGUCCGCAAGGCCGCAUGGAGCCGCGGCAAGUGAAGAUGCAGGCAUGAGUAACGAAAAGGCGGGUGGAAAUCCCGCCCACCGAAAGUCCAAGGUUUCCUGGGGCAGGUUCGUCCGCCCAGGGUCAGUCGGAGCCUAAGGCGAGGCCGACAGGCGUAGUCGAUGGACAACGGGUUAAUAUUCCCGUACUUCCGGAGCGGAGCGACGGGGUGACGCGGCAUGCUGGGCCGGCUGCCUGCUGGAACAGGCAGUCCAAGCGUGUAGGGCGACCGGACAGGAAAAUCCGCCGGUCACACAAGCCUGAGACGCGACGGGACGCGGCGUCCUCGGACAAAGCGGAUCGGCCGAUGCUCGGCCGCCAGGAAAAGCCCCUAAGCGAUCAAGACCGACCCGGAAUCCGUACCGCAAACCGACACAGGUGGACAAGGCGAGAAGCCUGAGGUGCGCGAGAGCAACCACGUUAAGGAACUCGGCAAAUUGACCCCGUAACUUCGGGAAAAGGGGUGCCCGCGGCCGUGAUCCCCCUCGCGGGGUGAGCGGCGGCGGGCCGCAGCGAAGCGGCCCAGGCGACUGUUUAGCAAAAACACAGCACUCUGCCAACUCGCAAGAGGACGUAUAGGGUGUGACGCGUGACCAAUGCCGAAAGGUCAAGUGGAGGGGUUAGCCGCAAGGCGAAGCUCCGAUACGAAGCCCCGGUGAAUGUCGGCCGUAACUAUAACGGUCCUAAGGUAGCGAAAUUCCUUGUCGGGUAAGUUCCGACCCGCACGAAUCGCGUAACGAUCUGGGCACUGUCUCAACGUGGCUCUCGGUGAAGUUGGAGUUCCGGUGAAAAUGCCGGAUACCUGCAGUAGGACGGAAAGACCCCGUGAACCUUUACUGUAAUCUGACAUUGGCCGCUGAUCCUCGAUGUGUAGCAUAGGUGGGAGUCGGCGAAGCCCCCUCGUCAGGGGGGGUGGAGACACCGGUGAAAUACCACCCUUGGACGGUCGGCGGUCUAACCCGAACCCGUCUAGCCGGGCCGGGGACCGUGUCAGAGGGUCAGUUUGACUGGGGCGGUUUCCUCCCAAAGCGUAACGGAGGAGUUCGAAGGUCAGCUCAGCAC